rnacentral:lncRNA from 1 species
UAGCUAAGCUGGAUUACUAUUAAUAGUACCAAAGUAUUAAUACUAUUAGUUUUUUAGCUCUUGAAUUGAGAAAUAUGCGAUUAUAAUAAUGUGGGCCCCUAGGGUUGAGUGAGAUGUUGGUUGAAUAGUAUAAUUUAACGGAUAAAAAUAAUUAAAAAGUUAAAUCUAACGAUAAAAAAUUCGAUAGUAUCAAGUCCUUAAUGCGACCGAUAGUAUCCCAGCCGGACUCUAUAUAUAUAUAGAGAGAGAAAGAGUUAAGCUUCUGUAUUUUUAUUUCUGCUCGUGACUUUUUAACCAUCAAAUUGCCUUAAGAUCCAUGUAGCAUCACUAAUAGUGCGUUCUCUGAAGCUUCAUUUAUUAGUACUAUAUGAAAUUAUUAGGCUAUCCGACGAAUAAAAUAUCACAAGCACGUUGAGUUUUUAUAUUUUUAAAAGCAAAUGAGCUCAAUUCUCUCUCUCUAUAUAUAUAUAUAUAUGAAGAUUUUGAUAAGUAAUUGGUUUUAAGAUUUCAUAAGUUAAGAAA